GCAAGCCCAAAAGGUCUGCCCGCUGCAAUGGGGAUAAGGGAAACUGGCCCCAGAAGCUUCUUUGGUGACAUGAACUCUGUCUUUCCAAUGCAGACAUCUCCUCGGUGAAACCCUAAGUGAGACAGAAGUUAUUCUUAUUCCUCUAAAAGUCUCCCUAGUGCCUCGCAGUCUGGGACGGCUCUUCGGUCUUUGUCCAUCGUUACCUUGACACUUGAAUACUGGCCAGUUAUUCUCCAAAAUGUCCCUUCUUUGAAGACUGCCUGAUGCUUUCUCCUGGUUAGGUGGAGGUUAUGCCUUUGGGACAAGAAUACCACAAAGGUGACCUGUGCUUUUCCCACCGUGCCAUAGCAGAGGUUCAUGAUGUUACGUCCCAUUUCUGUCGAUGUCGUCCUUGAUCACUUGGCUAAAGCGGCUCCUUCAGGCUUCUGUACUGCGGAGUUGCUGUUUUUCCCUUUGUGAUUAACAUCUUUGGGGGAGGAGCCUCGAGACCUUGCAAAUGGCCUGUUUUGCAUCAUCCUCUGGCCCACUUCUGUCGCAUCCAUCCAUGGCCCACCCCUGCAGCAAUCAGUGUGAUGUAGGCCUAGCAGUCGUUUUCUAUGUUUCUUACUCCCUUGAGGUUUAAUAACUGGAAUUCUGCUCUAAGGGAAAGCACCCUCUUCUCUCCCGUUUCUUUAUUUGUUCAAUCAUUUAUUUAUCUCAGCAUGAAUUUGUGGGUAUUUGUUUAUUCUGCGGGUCAUCAUCUAUUAUUAUCAUUGUUUAUUUUCUUGCUAAAUUGUCUCAGAUUUGGCCAUAGGGAGCUUCAUCAAGUUGGAGCCUGUAUCUUUCCUACACCAAACUGCUCUUACGUGUAAGCAAAGUUCCAUUAUAUGGAGUUGCUGGAAACUUUGUCCUUUCUGGGAAUUAUGCAGAAGAAUGAAAAAGGCUUCAAAGUACAUUUGCAAAGAUGGAUGAGCUGGUGUUAUCAAUGUCGAGCAGUUAAACAAAGCCCUGUCUUCCAAAACCAUGUUCUUGCCAUGAGGUCACCAGGUACCGCUGCCUUGUUAUCUGCACCGUGGCAGGCUGCUUCUCCUACCUUGACUGCCACGCCAUGGGCGUCUUGAAAACACGCCGCCUCUAAGUGGACACAAUCUUCCUCUGCCUUGUUGAGAUUCUUUCCCCUUUGGUUGCCAUUCAGACCCAAGAAUCUGGUCCUGGCAGAUUUGUAGCUUUUCGUUUCUGAAUUCUUCAAAUGCUUUAAAGGAAUGUGAGAGGCAUAGAGAUCU